rnacentral:lncRNA from 1 species
UUUUCUUUUUUUUUUUUUUUUUUUUUUUUUUUCUGUAGGUCUCGGGUUCGAGACUUGGGAGCAGUCUCUCCAUAAAUGGGGGUAAGGCUAGCCGACAUUCACCUCUCCCAGACCCUGCGUAAAGCGGGAGCCUUGUGCACUGGGUACGACCUUUUUUCUUCUUCCUCCUCCUUCUCCUUCUUCUUCCUUCUCCUUCCUCCUCAUUCUUCUUCUCCUUCUUCUUCCUUCUUAAGAAGGAAAAAAAAAAAAAAAAAAAAAAAAAAAAAAAAAAACCGAACCCAGAAAAGAAGAGGAAGAAGAAGGAAGAAGAAGGAGAAGAAGAAUGAGGAGGAAGGAGAAGGAAGAAGAAGAAGGAGAAGAAGAAGGAGGAGGAAGGAGAAGGAAGAAGAAGGAGGAGGAAGAAGGAAAAAAAAAAAAAAAAAAAAAAAGAAGAGAAACCGAACCCAGAAGAAGAAGGAGAAGAAGAAGGAGAAGAAGAAGGAGGAGGAAAGAGAAGGAAGAAAAAGGAGAAAGAGGAGGAAGAAGAAGAAGAAGAAGAAAAAAAAAAGAGAGAAACCGAACCCAGAAGAAGGAGAAGAAGGAGAAGAAGAAGGAGGAGGAAGGAGAAGGAAGAAGGAGAGAGGAGGAAGGAGGAGGAGGAGGAAGAAGGAAAAAAAAAGAAAACCGAACCCAGAAGAAGAAGAAGAAGAAGAAGAAAAAAAAAAAAAAAAAAAAAAGAACAAGAAGAGAAGAAGAAAAAAAAAUAUUUUAUUAUUAUUUUAAUAUUUUAUUAUUUAAAUAUUUUUAAUAUUAUUUUUAUUUAAAUAAAUUUUUUAUUUUUUUAAUGACACGUGGCGUCCAAUCAGAGCGCCACGUCAUCACUUAACGGGAGAACUAACAGUUUGACUAACAGAUGUAUGAGACUGUCCCAAAAUUUACACUUUAGGUAUGACUCUGGGACGAAAAAAACUUGAUGUACUAAAUGUUGAAAAUCACGAAACAUAAGGGUGGUAAACAGUCUUUUACCCUUGUUUUUAAUUAUUCUUUCACAUUUAGGUCUUUUUUCUUAUCACUUUUGUUUAUUAUGUAAUUAUUGCCAUGUUACUUUCCAAAUGCUUCCAAAUUCCAGACUAAAAUAAUGCAUUUUUUAUGGUUGAGUAGCUGUAAUCACACCAAGAAGUCAUUGUUUAUAAUCUAUUGGAUAGCCUUUGUCCUUUCGUGUUCGUUUCUUUCUUCCUUUCCUCUCUUUCACUGCACCUUCUUGGCCGGUUGGUAGUAUGUGGUUUCUCAAGUUCAUAUGCGAACGUUAUUAUGUUAUAAACUUUUCAAUUCUAGCAAUGUGAGACAAUGAGAUAACAAAACAAAUUCUGCUCAAACUCCAACGUGUAUACCAUCUACCUUGGUGUAUUACAUGGUUCAUUUGCCCAUUAAGGAAAGGCGCUGCUAAUAGAAGUAUAAUCCUAAUGCGCAUUUUGCAAUAGUUUUGGCAGUGGAAGAGCUUGAAACGAUCCAUUGGGGAAGCUCUCUUCGAGCCAUUGAGACGUUGAGGAGUUGAGCGUGUGACUGAUUGGCAUGUGAAAAUCGGAGCCAUUGAAAUAUAUUUACCGUUGUGGAAAAUAAGUUAGAUGAAACUACAUGAGGCUUGUGUAAGUUCUAUAAAAGAGUAAACACUUGGGCCCUGUUUGGCACACCGUAUAAGGCACCGGAUAGUACUAAUAAUACGGUGUACGGUGUUUGGUGCCGUUUGGAUUAAAUAGGCACCGGAUUAAAUAAUCCGGGCCCACCUUUUUUACCCGGUGUUUACCUGCUUCGUUAUACCGUCCAAAUUCACCGUAUAACUUAGUCAGCCUCGUCUCUUCCUUUCCGCUCGCUCUCGCUCUCCGCUCGUUCUCACCCUCGCUCUCCGCUUGCGAACUUGAGCCACUCUUUCUCACCUUUCCUUGGCGUCGUCGUCCUCCCUGUCACCUCCUCCUCACACUCUCACUCGCCGUCCCGGUCACCUUCUGCCAUCGGCCGUCCCUCGCCCGUCGCCAUCGCCUUCCGUCACCUGCAUCGCCGCCAUCGCCGCUUGCAAUUGCCGUCGCUUCUGUCAUCGUCUUCCCUGUCACCUGCAACUGCCUUCGGGGAAGAAGAAGAAGAGAGAAAGGGAGGGAGUUUGGGGGUGCGGCGGAGAGAUCUGGGUUUCAUUAUUUGGGAUUCUUCGUAGUCGGGGAAGAAGAAGGGAGAGAGAGAGGGAGGGAGUUUGGGGGGGGGGGCGCGAAGAGAUCUGGGAACCAGAUUUUCAGUUGUUUUUUUUUUUUUUUUUUUUAAGUUUAAUUUUAGUUUAAGUUUUCCUCCUAUCCGAUAUAAUAACAAACACUGUAUAAAUAAUACGAUUAUUAAUCCGAUACUGCACCAAACGCCCGACUAAUUUAGUCAGUACUGUCCGGUGACUAUUUAUCCUAUCCGACAGAAAUAGUCAGUACAAUCCGAGCUGCCAAACGAGGCCUUGGUGAUUUGAUUAAAAACGUGGAAUGAUAAGGAGAUAAUGACUGACAUUAGUGGUAGACUAAUCAAGAGUUGUAUUUCUUUACAGUUUCAAGUCAGUUACAUUCUCGGUAAAACUAGAACUCUUCUAGCUUAUAUAAUACAUAAGUGUUUCACGGUGAUAAGGCUACUCUUUGAUAAGGAUCACUUAAUGGGAGGGAUCCUUAUUGAAUUCCAUGUAUAAAACUAAGGUCCCUGCUUUCUCCACUAAAUACGCAAGUUUGCAAAAAACUCAAGCCUCAUUGAGUGAGCCAUGCUUUCAAUUGUGUAGAGUUGCAGGAGAACUUCCGUUUUUAAUCCUAAUUUUCUGAGACGAUGUCUUUCACAGGUACAUAGUUAAGUUGAUAACUGUGAAUAAAUUUUUUUGCAAAAUUAACUUACAACUUGGACCAUUGAAAUUUAUUAGAAUGGAUCGAUAGGGUCUCCAGUUUCGUGCUAGUUUCUUUCCUCUUUCCCCGUACCGGCAAGAAAGUCAUUUCAUCCUUUGAAAACAUUGUUUAUAUAUGCAUAUAUGGCAUCCAUUUGGGUGUAUUGUAUGGUUCAUUUGACUAAUUAAUUACGACCUGACUACUAAACAAAACAAAAAUAGUUAACCAUUUGCCAAGGAAUCCAACUGUCUAAUAAAUACAUUAGUUAAUUAGCUCCAAUAAGAUUUAGGAGAAAUUUUUCAUUGAGAUGGUACACCACGUGUUUUUAUAUAAGUGGUGGGAAAUUUUACUUUUUAAGUUAUUAACUUUUUAUCACAUAUAUCCCAUCAUUUGCAUAGUAACAUGUGGUGUACUACUCUUUGUUCCGGCCACACUAAAAAAUCUCUCUCAAGAUUUAGGGUUGUUGCUUACAUAUGCAAAAAGACAACGUUCGCUAUCUUGUCCUUUCAAACAUUGUUUAUGUUUGUACCAUACUUAGGGCAUCCGUAUUUAGACCUCGUAUAAAUACUUGGAGGACUCAAAUGUAAUUAUGUAAUAAAUGAAGAGACAAAUAUGUAAUAAGUGAGGAGCCCUUAUUCUAUAAAAGUAUUCAUCACUUUCCUCAUUAGGGGAGGCCAUUUCUUAAGCCCCCUCAUCCUCUCAAAGCUCUCACUCUCAUAUUCAGAGCUCUCUCUACCUCAGAAAUACAAUAUCAGUGUGGACGUAACCCAAACCUUGGGGUGAACCACGAUACAUCUUGUGUUAUUUACUUUCUUACAGAUUCACAGUCGGAUCUACAUUGUUCCAAUACCUCCGGUUUUGUGCAUCAACAGUUUAUAUAUGGCAUGAUGGCAUCCAUUUGGGUGUACUGUAUGGUUAAUUUGACUAAUAAGGAAAGAUAGCUAAUGCAAGUUUACUCCUAAUGCCCAUUUUGCAUUAGUUUUUAGCAGUGGAGCCUAAAAAUGGUCCAUUUGGGUGUAUUACAUGGUCCGUCCCCAUUUGGAUCUAUUAUAUUACUCGUCACUUAAUAGUUAAUACAACGAUCCAAUAAAUUGUUGUUUUAAGUUCAUAUCUUGUAAAUGGUUGAAUUAUUAUCACUUACCUUGAAUAAUUGUUUAUAAUUAUUCUUUCACAUUUUGUUCUUUGUUCUAAUCACUUUUGUUUAUUAUGUGGUUGUUGCCAUGUUACUUCUCAAAUACUUCCAAAUUCCAAACUAAAAUAAUGCAUUAUUGAUGUUUGAAUAGCUGUAAUCAUCCUAAGAAGUAAUUGUUUAUAAUAUAUUGGAUAAUCUUUGUCCUUCCGUGUUCGUUUCUUUCUUCCUUUCCUCUCUUUCACUGCACCUUCCUGACCGGCCGGCAGUAUAUCGUUUCUCAAGUUCAUACGCGAACGUUAUUAUAUUAUAAACUUUUCCAUUCUAGCAAUGUGAGACAAUGAGAUAACAAAACAAAUUCUGCUCAAACUCUAACGUGUAUAACAUCCAUCUUGGCGUAUUAUAUGGUUCAUUUGCCUAACAAGGAAAGGCGCAGCUAAUAGAAGUAUAAUCCUAAUGCGCAUUUUGCAAUAGUUUUACCAGUGGAGGAGCUUAAAACGAUCCAUUGGGGUGUAUUAUGUGGUCCACACCCAUUUGGAUGUAUUAUAUUAGAGCACAGCCUAAUAGUUAAUACAAUCAUCCAGUAGAUCGUGGUCUCAUGUUUGAAUCUUGUAAAUGGCUGAAUCAGUUACCGCCCACCUUGAAUAAUUGCUUUUAGUUGUCGUUUCACAUUUGGGUCUUUUCUCUUAUAACUUUUGUUUAUUAUGCGGUUGUUGCCAUUCUACUUCUUAGAUGCUAACACAUUUCAACCUAAAAUAAAACAUUAUUGAUGGUUGGAUGCCCGUAAUCACUGCCAAGAAGUCAUUGUUACAAUCUAUUUGAUAGUCUGUCAUUUUGUGUUCGUUUAUUUCCUCUUUUUCUCUCUCUUACUUUUCUCUGCACCUUCCGACCAUCAUUUUGUCGUUUCUCAAGUCCAUACGCCAACAUUAUUAUAUUAUAAACUUUGUUCUAUUUUAUUGAAGGAGCUUGACUUGGGUUUAGGAUCCAGGAACAUUAUUAUUACUCACUUAAUUUAACGGGAAAGGAGAAAAUAUAACAAAAUGGUUAAAUAACUGCCUAUCGACUGUAUUAAGAUCAAACACUGGGUGAUCAUAAUUUUCUUGGACCCGGAGAUCAUGGAGAACAAGUAAUUUUUGUUCUAAAAAUCCCUGCCUAGCGCUAGGCGGCUGGCCACAACCCCAAUUAGUCUCUAAGUGUUUGAAAAUUAAGAAAGUGUGCUAGACCUGCUUAGUCGUCCGCCUAGGCCGCAACUCUCAUUUAAACAGAAAAUCGAUAACACUUAUUUUGUAUUUUGUUUUUCCAAUAAAAUAAAGACUUGUUAAAUACUUGGAUAAGUUGUCAUUAUAUGCUUGUUUCUCAUGUUUUCAUUAUGUUCUAAUACUUUAUAAUCGAUAUGUCAUUUUAUUUUACACUUUAUAUAUCUCAAUACAAUUGUGUGUCAUUUUAUGUAUAAAAAGAUAUUUAUUUAUACAAUAUAUAAUAAAUUUACUUAAAUCCGUUUAGGCCCCGCCUAGGUGCUAGACCCCAACCCAACUCUCGACUAGCGCAUAGCAUCUUUUAUAACCUUAUGUAAUAUAUGGACUAACUCUUGUUAUGGAAUAUUAUUGAUUAAUUAUAUAAGGAUAAUACUAGGGAGAUCAAGUUUUUAAACCAAAUUUGUAAAUCAAAUUAUGUGUCACCAAUAAGAAACAAACACAUUAAUCGACACUUAGUUAAUAACCCAAUCAUCUAUAACCAUAUCAUUUGAUUUGCAAAUUUAAUUAAAAUUUUUUUAUCUUUACCCGUUAUAUAAACCAAGCCAAGUCUUUAACUCUUGUGAAUUCUGAUGCUUUUUUCUUCAAUGGAUGGGUUCACAAUCAUGCGUUAACAAUCAUGUUGCGUGGCAAAAUUGAGGGCUCAAGUCACGUUAUUUGUAGUCUUACUAUCUCCUUUCUUUUGUUUUUGUCCUACUCCUUUUAUUUUGCGUUUUUUCUUUUUCUCUUAUUUUGGAUAGUUUGAAAUUGUGAAUUUUGUGUUUUUUCAUAUUUAAUUUCUAAAAAUAAUUUUCUAAUGGACCCUAUUACCUAUAUGCUUUUAGGUUAGACAGAAAGUGUCAAAAAAGGAAAAUCAUUCAUUCUUGAAACAGCAUUUUUAAGAUCAAAAUGUGUUCUUUUUCUUUUAUUUUUAUUUUUUAUUUUUUUGGAAACGGAUCAAAAUGUGUUUUUUUAAUUUUCACCUACUCUCUUCAUCACCAAAUUAUAUAUUAUAUAUACCUUAUACUAAAGCUCAAGAACAAAGCUACUGUUUAUUAACGGUAGAGUGACUAGAAUGCCCUCAAAUUACUCUUGACUGUGCCUUUUUUACCUUCACAGAAAAAUGCUUGGUAGAAAACCAAGGAUAUCUUCUUAGGACCGACGCACCCCAUUCUAAAUCUGACCGAGUCCUGCAAAAUCUGAAGAAAUAGAAGCAGGCAAAAGUGGAAUGAUCUAUAGGGGCAGCUUCAGCCAGGAUUCGGGCAUGGGCCACACCCUCAGGGAACUCCAGAUUAGCAGCCCGAAAUUCUGGAAAGUACCAUUGAAGCCAAGUUUGUAUCAUCCAUAUAGGUCCCAUUCAAGUUGGUCUCAAAUGGCUCACCUUGAGUCAUUUCGAAAAGAAGAUGAUAAAGAUGGGAAAGAAGGAAUGGACUUGUGGCUACGUCAUCAAAGUUGUGAAGAGCUUCUACCAAGGGGAUCCAUUCAACCCUCACCCCUUUAGAUUUGUUGGGGAAGAUGUGCUUGUUGAGCCAGUAUAAGAGGAAAUACAUGUGCUCCUGAUCUUUAUCAACCCGAGGUGAGCCUACCCCAAAAUUCUCUUUUACGAAGGGGAUGAAUCCUUUGAAGGAGGUCCCAUAACUCUUGAAAGUUACAGAGUUAUAGUUCAAAGAGAGGAAGGCAGCAGAUGAACUUGAGCUUCCAGUGGUAGAGGACGGAACCCAGUCUUGAGUGACGUCCACUAUCCUGCCCGAGAGCCUUAAACCGAAAACUUGAGCCAUGUCAAGAAUGGUGGGAGACAUGGGGCCCAUACGGAAGUCAAAGGUAUUUGUGCCUGAAUUCCAGAAAAGGAGGGCAGAGACAAGUAGUUCGGGCUUGGGAAUAAUAGAGGUCUUCGAAAGCAUGAUUAACUCAUAAAUACCAUUAUUCAUCCAUUUCCUCUUAAAAGUAGGCUCUAAAUCAUCAAUCCAUUGAGCCCAGGCAGGAUCAUUCAUCAGAGGAAAGCCCCGACGAUAUGAUGACCAUUUGGAGGAAGAGAUGCCCGACCUAGCCGAAUAGGGAUUUGGGGAAAACCAGUUAUCUCUAGGCAUGUUGCCCUCCACCAUUGAAGGGACCCGAGAAAUCCAGGCGGGACCCAAUGAUUGUACCCCAUGCACCUCAAAGAAAAGCUCGGAGUGCAGACCUGCCUGAGGGCGAUGCAGCCUAUUGAGUAGACGACGCAGAGUGGCGAUUCCUUCGCCAGAUUCGUAAGAGGAUUGGGUUUGGCUAGAUUCUGCAGUCAUUUGAAGGAGUUCGAGAAAGGAAUAAUAUCAAGGAAGAUGACGAGGGCGAGAACUUAGAGCAGGAUUUCUUGCUGUGAAUACAGGGGAUCGAGGAGUUCAACCGCAAGGGAUUCGUGGGUUUUAUAAAGAGCUUUUUCAAUCAAUAUUGGCCCCUGGAAUUCCAGGCUAAAUAUUGAUUGAAGGGGGCACUGUUUGGAUCAAAACUUGAACUUUGGGCUCAAGGAAGGAGCUAGCCCGAAAGAAAGCCCAAAGGGAAAAAUAGCCAGAGCCCAGUCAAAGCCCAGAAGGCAGGGAAAGGCCUUUUCUGACCUGGUGCAGCUCAUGAAGACCAUUUGCUUACCUACCCAAAGGUCAAGUGGUGUAGACUGAUCAGCUAGACAGCCCAUAAAGCACUUUAUGGUGGCAUUACAUGUAAAAUAGCUGAUGAGUCAUCACCAUCAAACCGCAUUCGGGUAAAGCUGCUGCUACAGAAGCCCAAGCCGAGUUGUCUAUAUAAGAAGAAAGAAAAUCCAGGAUUAAGGACACUCAAUCAAACAAACAAAUGCAAGCACAAAAUCUGCUCAAAGCCAGAUUUGCCUUCAAAACAAAGCUGUAGUCAGCCUUCAUCCCUUUCGGGACAAACCUUCAUCCCUCUCGGGAUAACCCUCUCGGGAUAACCCUCUCUUCAACCCUUUGUAAUAGCUCUGCUACCUUGUUCAACCUUGCUGUAGUAUCGAUUCAUCUUUUGUAAUCUCUCUCUCUCUACCCCUCUAAGCUUUCAGACCUUUGACAAAACUACAAAGAUAAGAACCUGCAAGACGAGCAACCUUACUCAAUAAGGUUUAACCUUGCCCGACCUUCUUUGCUUUGGUUUUGUCUUUUCAAUAUGUUGUAUACUUCCAGUUAUAUGCAAGUUAUUUUUAGCAACAUGGCUAUUAAAAGGCUUUCUUAGUACCUGAAUCCGAUUUGAAUAUAUCGUUAGUGUUCAAACCAGAUCCAAGUCCUAAGCCCUCGGGCAUGUAAAUCUGAUCAGUUAAAAGUCAUUGGCCUCAAGGCAUAAAAAAGAACCUUAUGUGGACUUAACCCAUCCACGACAGUCCUUGAUAAACGAGAAGUCCAAAGUUACUUGGGGCGCAAGUAAUCAACCUACCUUCUAGUUUUCUUUCUAUUAUAUCAUGAUUACCAUAGAACGCUUGAGCAUGGAAUGGAUUCUAAUGGAAAGCCUCAAGGCCUACACCUAAGGCCCCACAAAGGCAUCCAUUUGGAUUCAUUCCGUUCAGCGAUCUAAAGAGUCUAAGUAUAAGAAUGAACUCUGAUGGGAAGCCUCAAGGCCUACACCUAAGGCCUCACAAAGGCACCUAUUUGGGUUCAUUCUACUUCUUGGAUUCGGGUAAUCAGAAGUAUAAUAGUUAGAAAACUCCUACAAUCACGAGAACAAAUAUGAUGUGUUCGAACACUGGUUUAGUUAUUUAUAGGAAGCCUCAAGGCCUACACCUAAAGCCCCACAAAGGCACCUGUUAUAACUAACACGGUUUCUUGGAUACAUACAUAUAUACAACUAAAGCACGACAACCAUUUUACAUCUGCCAUGCUAAAGAUGGCAGUGGCAUGCCUGAGCACUUAAAUGUUAACCUUGAUUGUGAGCCUCAAGGCCUACACCUAAGGCCCCACAAAUGCACCUCUCAAAGUUAACGCUGUCCUUCUCUUUCAGCCUUGCUCGAAGAGUCUUGCCCGAAGAGUCUUGCCCGACGAGACUAGCCCGACGAGACUUGCCCAACAACGCCCGAUAGUGAAGCAGAAGCCCGACAGCAGCCCUCAACCGGCGCCAACCUCCAGGGGAGCUGUGUGCUCGUCGGCCAGGAAACAUCCCCGACAGAAAUUCAUGACGCGAACAGGUUCACUGGUCGUAAAAUUAACUGAUAAGGGAGUCUCCGCUAAAGAUAGAGACACGGGAAAAGUUUCAAAUAUACCUUAUGGGAUGGUUCUCUGGGCAACUGGUAUCGGGCCACGCCCUGAGAUUAUCGAUUUUAUGAAGCAGAUUGGUCAGGUUUGAUACUAACUUGUGCUUGUUUCCAAUUAUAGUCGAGAGGUUAACUUUUGAUUUGACGCUUCAAUUGAUCAAAUUUUGUAAUUUGUUUGCGCAAAACAGACCAAUCGACGUGUUUUGGCUACGGAUGAAUGUCUGAGGGUGGAAGGAUGUGACGGGGUGUAUGCUUUAGGUGAUUGUGCAACAGUAAAUCAACACCGCGUCAUGGUAUCUAUUUAAUGUUUUUCUGCUUAUGCCAUGCAUUGCAGUAUGGUUGAAAGUGUUGAUGCAUGCAUUGUUGUAUGGUAGAAUUUGCCGAUUCUAUGUAUGAUAUUUUGUUGUCAUUGCAUAUCGAUUUGUUGUCAGGAUGAUAUUGUUUCGAUAUUCCGAAGGGCAAAUAAGGACAACUCUGGUACAUUAAGUCUAGAGGAAUUUCAAGAAGUCAUGGAGGACCUCAUGGUAAGGUAUCCUCAACUGAGCCUUCAUUUGAAGAGCAAGCAUAUGAGGUAUAUUAAUGAGUUGCUGGAAAAUAGUUGGAAAAACCCCGAAAGAUGAAAUCGAUAUUGAAACAUUUAAAGCAGCUCUUUCCCAAGCAGAUUCGCAGAUGAAAAAUCUUUCGGCAACUGCCCAGGUUAAUUCAAUAUAUUCACUUCUUUUUCCAUCACAUCUCCUUAUCCUCUAACUCAAAUUCCAUUUCUUUAACUAUUUUUUGUUUUCGAAAUUCUAAUAAUUUAGGUGGCUGCUCAACAAGGUGCCUACCUUGCCGAUUGUUUCAAUCGUAUGGNAACUGGGUAAUUUUCCAGCUCUAUCAAGUAAUACUCCAUUUAAUUGCUUAAUUAAGGUUUUUUGUUUCUCUUUUUCGCUCUUUUAUCAGUUCAUUGGCUUUUGAUGUUGGGCUUAAGUAAAUGGGAAAUCAUUAAUGGGCAUUGUUCAAGAUAUAAUUCUGUGUUUUUGGACUUGUGAAACGAUUUGGCUAAUAAAGAGAGUGGUUUUUUGUAUAUAGAUUGCACAUAUGUGGGCUGAUCUAUCUUUCCUAAUAAAUUUCCGAUCUGUUUCAGGUAUAAAUUUUUCUCAUCCAUUUGCAAACAAGUUUCAGUAUGUUCUUACUUCUCCUCAUGGAAAAAUGUUUUGUUUUUGGCAGCAAAUCACAGUACAAAGCUAAGGCAAUUAUUCUCGCGGUCUUCGUUUUUAUAAUUUAUUUUCUUAGUGAAGGUGUAAUCAUUGUGUAAUUAUCUUUUUUCUUGAUUCGAUUUCUUUUAUUUCUAUGAUAUUUAAUCGGUGGGAGGCUGUUGCAUACCUUGCAUGCAAUAAGUAUAAAAUUUGAUGUCUUUUUCUGAGCUUUCACAACACCCCCCGCGGCCGCGGGGCCACACGGGGGCCCCCCCCUAACACAAAAAAAGUUAUUUUUAAGUGGAAAUGCUGAGUCUUUUUGUUUACAAAGGAUAUCUCUGAUUUCAGCUUGGGUAUCAGGCCUUCUUAAUUGUCAUCUAUUAAUCUUUCCAUUCAUAGUGAAGCUUAAUUGUCAACCUGUUUUGAGGUGGCCACGUGAACCAUUCUGUGUUUGUCUCUGCAUUCUCUUCUUCUAUUAAGAAAUUACAUUUCCUUUCACAACUUCAACCCAAACCAUUAAGCAAACAAACAUAUUCACGGAGGUAGUUGGUGGUUCAAAUACCAAUUUCAGGCAUCGAUACUCCAACUCUGUAUCAACAUUUUUUGGAUUGCAUAGGUUUUUUUUUUUUUGGAGUUGAUAGUAAUGAAAAAUUUCUUUAGUUUCACAUGUGCUUAUCUAUCAUUGUUACCGGGCAAUAAUUUCUUUAGUGCCCUACAUAUUUUGGCUUAUUAGAUUGGCCUUCAUUUGGUGCUUAUCUGUGAUGUUAAUAAUUGAUGGCGGACUUUCUGGGUUGCAAAUUCUCGAACAGAAUUUCUGACUUGCAAAAUCCAUUACAAAACUGAAGACAUUCCUUCUGUUUUUAACUUUUUACCUCUCCAUUGUUGGUUGUGUCAAAAGUACCAAUUUUGUUGAUUUACAUGAACUUCACAAGACAUCAACAACAACAACAACAACAAAGCCUUUUCCCACUAAGUGGGGUCGGCUAUAUGAAUCCUAGAACGCCAUUGCGCUCGGUUUUGUGUCAUGUCCUCCGUUAGAUCCAAGUACUCUAAGUCUUUUCUUAGAGUCUCUUCCAAAGUUGUCCUAGGUCUUCCUCUACCCCUUCGGCCCUGAACCUCUGUCCCGUAGUCACAUCUUCGAACCGGAGCGUCAGUCGGCCUUCUUUGCACAUGUUCAAAAUCACCGGAGCCGAUUUUCUCUCAUCUUUCCUACAAUUUCGGCUACUCCUACUUUACCUCGGAUAUCCUCAUUCCCAAUCUUAUCCUUUCUCGUGUGCCCACACAUCCCACGAAGCAUCCUCAUCUCCGCUACACCCAUUUUGUGUACGUGUUGAUGCUUCACCACCCAACAUUCUGUGCCAUACAACAUCGCUAGCCUUAUUGCCGUCCUAUAAAAUUUUCCCUUGAGCUUCAGUGGCCUACGACGGUCACACACAACACGCCGGAUGUACUCUUUUCCAUCCAGCUCGUAUUCUAUGGUUGAGAUCUCCAUCUAAUUCUCCGUUCUCUUGCAAGAUAGAUCCUAGGUAGCGAAAACGAUCGCUUUUUGUGAUCUUCGCUAGAUUGCUCCGGUCAUUAGUGUGGAUAAGUAUAUAAAUGGAUAGAGAUAGGAAAGCAAACACAAGAUGUACGUGGUUCACCCAGAUUGGCUACGUCCACGGAAUAGAAGAGUUCUCAUUAAUUGUGAAGGGUUUACACAAGUACAUAGGUUGAAGCUCUCAUUUAGUGAGUACAAGUGAAUGAUUUAGUACAAAUGACAUUAGGAAAUAUUGUGGGAGAAUGAUCUCGUAAUCACGAAACUUCUAAGUAUCGGAGUGUGGUGUCGUCUUGACUUGCCUUAUCUGUCUCAUAGGUAGAUGUGGCAUCUUCUCUGGAAGUACUCUUCCUCCAUCCAGGGGUGGUAUCUUUAACUGGUGGAGAUGCACAAGGUAAUGUAUCAAUUUCACUUGAAGCUUACUUGUAGUUUCAGGCUUGGUCAAGCGCGAUACAAACCAUGUAGUAGGAGUCCCCCAAGUCGCCGAGCUAGGGGGUCUGCUGAAAGAGGUGACAGACAAGGUAAGCAAUCAGAGCUCCGACUGAUUGUUCACCUCUCUCCCCAUCUUGCAGCAGCAUGAAGGAUAAAGAGAAAAAAUGAGAAGAGAUGAUAUGAGAUACUUUUGCUUUUGAAGAAGUAACUUUCCACAGGCUUAUUCUUGAACUGAGCUGGAGGGUUUUCUGGUUUUCUCCAGAGUAUAAGGCCGACUGAAGAAUUUGAGGGUCAAAACAAGUCCAUCAAAUCUAGAGUACGUUCCACCCUGCUGAUAUGGGAUACUUUUGCUUUUGACAGAGUAAUGAAUGUAUCGGCACGUGUGCUGUUACGCUUGUCUCCACAUGCUUCCUUGUAUCCUUCGCACUUGCCCUAUCUGUUCCUCAAGCAGAUGCGGAAUCUUCCCUGGAAACAUAAGAUGUUGAAGAUGAGUACUCGAGAGCAAUGCCAGGUAAGUAAUCAGGUAAGGGGUUCCAGGCAGUCAGUUCCUGGCUGGAAGCUUGAUUCCAAGUGCUGACUGAUUGCUCUCUUUCUCCUUGUCUUGCAGGUAAAAACAAGGCCAAAAGAAAAGACAGGGAAAAAGCAUGAUAUGGGAUACUCUUGCUUUUAACCCUGAUGAUAUGAGAUAUUCUUGCUCUAGUAUAGCUUGUUUUGCAGAGGUAUUAUCGGGGGGAAAGAAAGCUGAAUAUUUCGAAAAGCUUCGUUGGGAGUGCCCUCUCAGAUAUGAUGAAGGGUUGAGCAUUUUUGCAGGUCUGCCUGUCCGUUGGGGAUGGAGGUCGACAUAUAUAGGAGUCUCCCUAACAACAAGUAGUAAUGCUAUUCCUUUACCCUGCUUGGUCAUAGCACGGUAGUGGGAGCUGCCAGUUUCACAUGUUUUAACUCUGUCAGAGCACUUUGAAAAAGUGGUCUGUGGUAUCUGGCUCUCGAGAUUCGGAGAACGAUGCCUCUUCGAUUUUUGAGAAAGCAAUCAUGCUGGGGGUAUGACUCUCGAGAUUCGGAGAGCAGUGUCUCUUCGAUUUUUGAGGAAGUAAUCAUGUUGGGAGUCUGGCUCUCGAGAUUCGGAGGGCGGUGCCUCUUCGAUUUUGGAGCAAGCAAUCUUGUUGGGAGUGUUGUCUCGAAUGUGAGUAAAGGUUGGGCAUGUUUGCUAGUCUACCUUGCCACGAAGCACAAAGGUUGACACACAGGGACUUUCCAAUUAUCCAGCAAUGGUACUGUUCCUUUACCCUCUCUUCGAUUUUUGAGAGAAAGUAGUCAUGUUGGGAGUCUGGCUCUCGAGAUUCGGAGGACGGUGCCUCUUCGAUUUUGGAGCAAGCAAUCUUAUUGGGAGUGUUUUCUCGAAUGUGAGUAAAGGUUGGGCAUGUUUGCUAGUCUACCUUGCCACGAAGCACAGAGGUUGACACACAGGGACUUUCCAAUUAUCCAGCAGUGGUACUGUUCCUUUACAGUUGUGGGUAAUAAUAUGGUAGCUAGACCUUCAAAAUUUAUGUGUCUAAACUUUUGUUAGUGCUGUUUCUUUGCUAUUCUUUUACCUUUCUUGGUCAGAGCGAUGUAGUGGGAGCUGCAAGCUUCACGUGCUCAACUUUGGCAGAGAACUUUGGCAAAGUGAUUUGUGGUACCCAUGAGCUAUUGUUGCGUGUGGGAAGUGGGUGAUUGAACAGUAAGAUUCAUGUGCUUUCUACUUCACCAGAAGUCUUCGACAGAAUGCCCAUAAUUUCUGCAAAGCUGAGUGUGCGUGUGACAGGUGCUGACAAGGCUAGAAAAGUAGGUGCCUCUUCGAUUUCUGAGAUCGGCCCUCGUGGUCUCUGAGCAGCCCAGCUUUUGAGAAAGCGAGCGCCUCUUCGAUUGAUUCGGAGAACGAUGCCUCAUCGAUUUUUGAAAAAGCAAUCAUGCUGGGGGUCUGGCUCUCGAGAUUCGGGGAGCAGUGUCUCUUCGAUUUUUGAGAAAGUAAUCAUGUUGGGAGUCUGGCUCUCGAGAUUCGGAGGGCGGUACCUCUUCGAUUUUGGAGCAAGCAAUCUUGUUGGGAGUGUUUUCUCGAAUGUGAGUAAAGGUUGGGCAUGUUUGCUAGUCUACCUUGCCACGAAGCACAAAGGUUGACACACAGGGACUUUCCAAUUAUCCAGCAAUGGUACUGUUCCUUUACCCUCUCUUCGAUUUUUAAGAAAGUAGUCAUGUUGGGAGUCUGGCUCUCGAGAUUCGGAGGACGGUGCCUCUUCGAUUUUGGAGCAAGCAAUCUUAUUGGGAGUGUUUUCUCGAAUGUGAGUAAAGGUUGGGCAUGUUUGCUAGUCUACCUUGCCACGAAGCACAUAGGUUGACACACAGGGACUUUCCAAUUAUCCAGCAGUGGUACUGUUCCUUUACCCUUGUGGGUAAUAAUAUGGUAGUUAGACCUUCAAAAUUUAUGGGUCUAAACUUUGUUAGUGCUGUUUCUUUGCUAUUCUUUUACCCUUCUUGGUCAGAGCGAUGUAGUGGGAGCUGCAACCUUCACGUGCUCAACUUUGGCAGAGAACUUUGGCAAAGUUAUCUGUGGUACCCAUGAGCUAUUGUUGCGUGUGGGAAGUGGGUGAUUGAACAGUAAGAUUCAUAUGUUUUCUACUUCCCCAGAAGUCUUUGACAGAAUGCCCAUAAUUUCCGCAAAACUGAGUGUGCGUGUGACAGGUGCUGACAAGGCUGGAAAAGGCUGGAAAAGUAGGUGCCUCUUCGAUUUCUGAUAUCGGCCCUCGUGGUCUCUGGGGAGCCCAGCUUUUGAGAAAGCGAGCGCCUCUUCGAUUUUUGAGAUCGGCCUUCGUGGUCUUUGAGCAGCCCAACUUUUGAGAAAGCAAACGCCUCUUCGAUUUCUGAGAUCAACCCUCGUGAUCUCUAAGCAGCCCAGCUUUUGAGAAAGCAAACGCCUCUUCGAUUUCUGAGCAGGCGCCUCUCUUCGAUUUCUGAAGCUUCGUCGAGUGCAGAUUUUUAUAGGGGCUGGCAUUAAGUUCCAAAGCACACUUGAAUCUCCACCAGUAGAAGCUUCAUUCUUGCACUUCUAAGAUCUUGAUUUGUCCGACCUCUUCUCUCUUCAACACCUUUGAAAAUGUCUGGCCCCUCCGACCGUCGUUUUGACUUGAACCUUGUUGAAGAGGCAGCCCCGCCUUCUCCAGACAACAUAUGGCGCCCAUCCUUCGUCUCCCCUACUGGUCCUCUUACCGUUGGGGAUUCCGUGAUGAAGAAUGAUAUGACCGCUGCGGUGGUGGCCAGGAACCUUCUCACUCCCAAAGAUAACAGACUACUUUCCAAACGGUCUGAUGAGUUAGCUGUUAAGGAUUCGCUGGCUCUCAGUGUUCAGUGUGCAGGUUCUGUGUCUAAUAUGGCCCAACGCCUAUUUGCUCGAACCCGCCAAGUUGAAUCAUUGGCGGCUGAAGUGAUGAGUCUCAAACAGGAGAUUAGAGGGCUCAAGCAUGAGAAUAAACAGUUGCACCGGCUUGCACAUGACUAUGCUACAAACAUGAAGAGGAAGCUUGACCAGAUGAAGGAAACUGAUGGUCAGGUUUUACUUGAUCAUCAGAGAUUUGUGGGUUUGUUCCAAAGGCAUUUAUUGCCUUCGUCUUCUGGGGCUGUACCGCGUAAUGAAGCUCCAAAUGAUCAACCUCUGAUGCCUCCUCCUUCUAGGGUUCUGUCCAGUACUGAGGCUCCAAAUGAUCCCCCUCCGGUGCCUUCUCUUUCUGGGGCUCUACCGACUGCUGAGACUUCUCCUAAGCAACCUUUGUGAAGGCUCCCUCUUGUGUGCUUAUUUUGACUCAUGUAUAUGUACAUAUUUGUAGCUUAUCGGGGAUAUCAAUAAAUAAGCUUUCCUUCAUUUCAACGUAUUGUGUUAAAUACACCAAAGCCUUCUUCGCUAAGUUCUUUGAAUUUUCUUUUGUUAAAGCUUGUAUGUUGAAGCUUUCUGAGUGGAGCAUGUAGGUUGGGGUAGUGUUCCCUUAAUUUCCCGAGUGAGGAAAACUUCUCGGUUGGAGACUUGGAAAAUCCAAGUCACUGAGUGGGAUCGGCUAUAUGAAUCUUAGAACGCCAUUGUGCUCGAUCCUGUGUCAUGUCCUUCGUUAGAUCCAAGUACUCUAAGUCUUUUCUUAGAGUCUCUUCCAAAGUUUUCCUAGGUCUUCCUCUACCCCUUCGGCCCUGAACCUCUGUCCCAUAGUCGCAUCUUCUAAUCGGAACGUCAGUAGGCCUUCUUUGCACAUGUCCAAACCACCGUAACCGAUUUUCUCUCAUCUUUCCUUCAAUUUCGGCUACUCCUACUUUACCCCGGAUAUCCUCAUUCCUAAUCUUAUCCUUUCUCGUGUGCCCACACAUCCAACGAAGCAUCCUCAUCUCCGCUACACCCAUUUUGUGUACGUGUUGAUGUUUCACCGCCCAACAUUCUGUGCCAUACAGCAUCGCCGGCCUUAUUGCCGUCCUAUAAAAUUUUCCCUUGAGCUUCAGUGGCAUACGGCGGUCACACAACACGCCGGAUGCACUCUUCCACUUCAUCCAUCCAGCUUGUAUUCUAUGGUUGAGAUCUCCCUCUAAUUCUCCGUUCUUUUGCAAGAUAGAUCCUAGGUAACGAAAACGGUCGCUCUUUGGUAUUUCUUGAUCUCCGAUCCUCACCCCUAACUCGUUUUGGCCUCCAUUUGCACUGAACUUGCACUCCAUAUAUUCUGUCUUUGAUCGGCUUAGGCGAAGACCUUUAGAUUCCAACACUUCUCUCCAAAGGUUAAGCUUUGCAUUUACCCCUUCCUGAGUUUCAUCUAUCAACACUAUAUCGUCUGCGAAAAGCAUACACCAAGGAAUAUCAUCUUGAAUAUGUCGUGUUAACUCAUCCAUUACCAACGCAAAAAGGUAAGGACUUAAGGAUGAGCCUUGAUGUAAUCCUACAGUUAUGGGAAAGCUUUCGGUUUGUCCUUCAUGAGUUCUUACGGCAGUCUUUGCUCCUUCAUACAUAUCCUUUAUAGCUUGGAUAUAUGCUACUCGUACUCCUUUCUUCUCUAAAAUCCUCCAAAGAAUGUCUCUUGGGACCCUAUCAUACGCUUUUUCCAAAUCUAUAAAGACCAUGUGUAAAUCCUUUUUCCCAUCUCUAUAUCUUUCCAUCAAUCUUCGCAAGAGAUAGAUUGCCUCCAUGGUUGAGCGCCCUGGCAUGAACCCGAAUUGGUUGUCCGAAACCCGUGUCUCUUGCCUCAAUCUAUGCUCAAUGACUCUCUCCCAGAGCUUCAUUGUAUGACUCAUUAGCUUAAUACCCCUAUAGUUCAUGCAAUUUUGUACGUCGCCCUUAUUCUUGUAAAUAGGCACCAAAGUGCUCAUUCGCCACUCAUUUGGCAUCUUCUUCGUUUUCAAAAUCCUAUUGAAAACGUCAGUGAGCCAUGUUAUACCUGUCUCUCCCAAAAGUUUCCACACUUCGAUUGGUAUAUCGUCUGGGCCUAUUGCUUUUUUAUGCUUCAUCUUCUUCAAAGCUACAAUCACUUCUUCCUUCCGGAUUCGACGAUAAAAAGAGUAGUUUCUACACUCUUCUGAGUUACUCAACUCCCCUAAAGAAGCACUCAUUUCAUGUCCUUCAUUGAAAAGAUUAUGAAAAUAACCUCUCCAUCUGUCUUUAACCGCGUUCUCUGUAGCAAGAACCUUUCCAUCCUCAUCCUUGAUGCACCUCACUUGGUUUAGGUCCCUUGUCUUCUUUUCCCUUGCUCUAGAUAGUUUAUAGAUAUCCAACUCUCCUUCUUUGGUAUCUAGUCGUUUAUACAUAUCGUCGUAAGCCGCUAACUUAGCUUCUCUGACAGCUUUCUUCGCCUCUUGCUUCGCUUUUCUAUACCUUUCACCAUUUUCAUCAGUCCUCUCCUUGUAUAAGGCUUUACAACAUUCCUUCUUAGCCUUCACCUUUGUUUGUACCUCCUCAUUCCACCACCAAGAUUCCUUUUGGUGUGGGGCAAAGCCCUUGGACUCUCCUAAUACCUCUUUUGCUACUUUUCGGAUACAACUAGCCAUGGAAUCCCACAUUUGGCUAGCUUCCCCCUCUCUAUCCCACACACAUUGGGUGAUUACCUUCUCUUUGAAAAUGGCUUGUUUUUCUUCUUUUAGAUUCCACCAUCUAGUCCUUGGGCACUUCCAAGUCUUGUUCUUUUGUCUUACUCUUUUGAUAUGUACAUCCAUCACCAACAAGCGAUGUUGAUUAGCCACGCUCUCUCCUGGUAUAACUUUGCAAUCCUUACAAGUUAUACGAUCCCCUUUCCUCAUUAGAAGAAAAUCUAUUUGUGUUUUUGACGACCCACUCUUGUAAGUGAUCACAUGUUCUUCUCUCUUCUUAAAGAAGGUGUUGGCUAAGAAGAGAUCAUAUGCCAUUGCAAAAUCCAAGAUAGCUUCCCCAUCCUCGUUUCUCUCCCCAAAACCAUGGCCACCAUGAAAACCUCCAUAGUUGCCUGUCUCCCUGCCCACGUGUCCAUUUAAAUCUCCUCCUAUAAAUAACUUCUCCGUCUGAGCAAUUCCUUGCACCAAGUCUCCAAGAUCUUCCCAAAAUUUCUCCUUCGAACUCGUAUCCAACCCUACUUGAGGUGCGUACGCACUAAUCACAUUGAUAAGUUCUUGUCCUAUUACAAUCUUGAUUGCCAUGAUUCUAUCUCCUACCCUCUUGACAUCUACAACAUCUUGUACCAAGGUCUUGUCCACGAUGAUGCCAACACCGUUUCUCGUUCUAUUUGUGCCCGAAUACCAAAGUUUAAACCCUGAGUUUUCUAGAUCCUUUGCCUUACUACCAACCCACUUAGUUUCUUGUAGGCACAUAAUAUUUAUCCUUCUCCUCACCAUAACUUCCACUACUUCCAUAGAUUUUCCCGUUAAGGUUCCUAUAUUCCACGUUCCUAAACGCAUUUUGCUCUCUUGAACUCUACCCUUCUGUCCUAGCUUCUUCACCCUCCCCCGUCUAAUAGGAUCAAAGUACUUCUUUUGUGUGUCCCGGGUAAAGUUGAUAGGAGCAUAUGCUCCCAAACAACUUUGGGUGGAGUCGUUCGAAAAGAAGUUUCUAUGGCCCCCUUGCUCAUUUAACACUGCAUCCGGGUGCCGAUGGAGAUACAGCGACCCUUGCUCACUUAUCACUGUGCUCAGGCCACACAGCGCGCCACUUACGGGUGACGCCCUAGCUUUAGCGCGAUUUUGUUCUGGAUUCAUUUUCAUAAGGAUUCGACGUGAUCAUGGAGUGCCGGCUGUCGACUACCUGACGCCCUCCCCCUCCUCCUUUAUCCGGGCUUGGGACCGGCCAUGUAAGACAUAGGCGGAGUUGAACUUCACAAGACAUGCAACCAAAAAAAAAAAAAAAAAGAACAAGGCACUGCCUGAAGAUGAGACAUCUAACAGACGAGUUUCUGUUUUGAAUCUAUUGUAGUUAUUUGGUCUUGCAGUUUUAGUUAUCAAUUCAGUUCCUCCAUUGCUAAUAUUACUGUCUCCAUUUAGCUUCUUCAUAGAAUAUUUCUACUAAAUUUUUCAGGCUGAAGAGGAUGACGAGAAUAUUAGUGGUGAAUUGUAUUCCAGUUUAAUUAGGGGGAGAACAUGUAAACUUAUUCUACGUUUUCUUUCAUUUUUAGUUGAGCAUUUAUUGGUAUUUUCCAUAAAUUUUUGGAUUGUUAAUGUUUGACUUUGAUGAUUGUGGCGUUUCAGAGGUAUAUCCCAAACCUAAUAAUUUUGUUUGGUUUUUCUUCCUUUUUUGCUUCUCUUCUUUUGAUUUCCCGUAUAUGUAUUCUGCAUUUUCCUAUGGCGGUUUUGAACCUUUUCUUUUCUAAAUUUGUAUGCAUUAUGGGUCGUCAUUUAAUCUGCUUAAUUAUCGUUGUGAUCAACUAAGAUAUCACUUUUUCAUACACUGUAGACUUUGAGUUACUGGUUGAAUUAUGAAUUGAGAAGUGGAUAAUACCAUAAAAAAAAUUGCUAGGAGUAGGAGGAUGUUCUUGGCACACUAUAAGAAGUUUUCUUUUUCUUUUUGGCAAGUUCUUCAUAUUCAUGAUUCCGUUAUCAGUGCAUUUGCUUUCCCAUGAUUUCUCAUAAAUUGGACGUGAAUGUAUUUAUAGAUAUUUAUUUUUUUAGCCAAACAAAUGAUUUGAUUGAGCAAAAGGUGCAUCAACCAUAUAUUAUUACUACACUGUACGAGGCCUCGGCAUUACAAGGUCUUGAAAUUACCUCUCUCUUUUUUGGUUUUUGACAGAUUAUAUGAGAUUUUAUUGCUGUUAGUUUGAUGAAGUUCUCGAUUCAUGACCAUAUUUUUUUUCAACUUCUACCAUUUGGUUUCUAUUGACUUUAACUCUGAGUUGUAGUGGUGUUUGUGUUUUCUAAAUUUCUUCCAAUAGCUUAGUUUUAGUUUGAUUUUGUUUGCAUAUAUCUCUUCAGAGCAAUUCUUGGAGUUGCAAUCUUACCAGCUACAAAAAGGAAAGUUAUUGAGAAAAUCUGGAGAGAAGGGCCUCCUAAAUUAUUAUGGCCACCAGAAGCUGUAAGUACUUUUUUAGAUCAUUCAACAGGGAGAUGGUAUUCUCCAUGACAAAUGCUCCAAAAGCAAUAACUCAUUUUCUCCUGGAUUGACCAAAAUAUCAACUUCAAAGCAAGUUUUGUCGGGUGUAACAACAUUUGUAGGGCAACAAACAUUUAACUAAUCAGAUUUAAUUUAGGGCAAUUUUGGAUUUGCAUUCAUUUGUUUUGUUUUGUAAUUUUAUAAGCAAUUUUGAGUUUGUGUGAAAAAUAAUAUUGUUUUUCAUCCUCUCUCUCUCUCAUGUUUUUGGGGAGUUUGAGUCCUAAGUGUGUUUCUGUUUCUGGGUUUUGAGUGUUUUGUUGUUUUCUUCUGGUAAAGUAUUGUUCUUGCUGUAAAAGUGGCAAUCAGUGCUGUGUAUUUUAUGCAUGAUAAAACUUAGUGUAGUACUGUGGUGCUCAUUUUUGGUUAAAAGUUAAAAGAGUCUUAUUAAGAUUUUGGUUGAUUUUUAUCCAACUUAGACCAAACUUCAGCUUAUACUAUCAAGAAACAUGUUAUCACAUGACUAAAAUCAUCUAUUUACAUUGAUAAACAUUCAAUUACGACAUGAUUGAUAUGGAUAUAUAGAUCCAAUAGCUUUAGCUAUAUGUUUUAGUUUUACACAUGAAAAUUGAAUAUAUCAAUUUUAAAACUUUCAACCAUGUUAUUCAACAGAUGCCAUAAACUGCCAUAUUUUUAUGUCUAGAAAAAGAAUUUAUAUGCAACAUGAUCAGAAUGACUACAUAAACUACUUAUAAAAUAUCUUUUCAAAUACAUAAGGGGAAAAAGUGAUGGUUCUCAACGCGUCUUUAUUGUUGCCCAAGUUUUUGCUAAUUUUGAAAGCUAUGAAUUGCUAAUGGGCUUACCCCUUUUUUGUGUGGAAUUUUCAGAGUUUUGGGUCGUCGGAGGAAGAACUUAGUUGCUUGACAUUUUGAGGUAUAUACAUUACUAUACUUUUGUUUUAGUUUCUUCAAUUAGAUACAGUUAAUUCACACCAAUGCUUUUGUUUCUGUUGGGUUUUGAGUUUAAACCUUAUCCUUAAUCAUUUGGUGGGUUUUUGAAACUUUGGAAUCAGAUUUUCAAUUGGUUUUGUGAAGUCCUAACUUUUAAUUUCAUUUGGGUCUGACCUUUAGUUUAAAACUUAUCUGAAAUCAUUUGGUGGGUGUUUGCAACUUUGGAAUUAGAUUUUUAAUUGGUUUUGUGAAGUCCUAACUUUUAUUUUCAUUUGGAUAUGACCUUUUAGCUGUCAUUGAAAAUAAUCAUAAAAGUAAAGUUGUGCAUUCUUAAUUUAGUCUUUGGCAAGCCAUCAUGCAUGAUAACCAAGUAACUGGUUUUUGGUAAAUAUUGAUUUUGGAAAAUUCUUAGUUUAAAUUUCUAGGUUCUGAUGAAUUCUUCAUUUAGAGUUGGUGACCAACAAUCGACCCACCACCAAGUUUAGAUCAAGAUUCGAGCAUGCCUUAAAAGUGUAAGUCAUUUUUCCAUUCUAUUUUGUUGAUUUUGUCAUCUGGGUUUCCUAGAAAACUCGCACCUCGGUUCAUUUCUGACUAGGGUGUUACCUUUUUAUCUGUAUUGUUUGGCAGGUUUCAGAAAGCUCGCAUUCAAGUUUGGCUCUUUGAGUAGGACUUCAGGAUUGAAGGUUGAAUUAUUGUAAGUCUGUUUUCUUUUUCUUUUGUAAACGAAAUUUGAAUUAUGUUCAACUAUGGUUUAUAGUUAUUUUGUUGAUGUUGUUACACUACUCAAGAUUGCUAAUCUUAUACCAAUUGUCUUUAAUAGAUUUUGCAGAAUCACAUUUGUGGAAUAAUUUCUUGAAACUCAUUUGUUAUUUUUCCUUUAUGCUUCCACGACUUCACAACUUUAUAGUCGACCUUGCUAUCCCACUGUUGAAUCUGAUUAAUUUGUCAAAAAAAUUCCAAGUUUACGUAUUCUGGAAUAUAUAUAUAUAUAUAUAUAUAUAUAUAUAUAUAUAUAUAUCAUUCCAUAACAUAAUGCAUGUAGAUAGGAAAAAUUACCAUCUUUUGUAUGUGGAUUGAAUCGCAAAAUCUUUUGUGUGUAAAACUUUUUCCAACAUUUUCAAUGUAAAUAGUAUUAAUCUUCAAUCACACAAUCUAUUAUAUAUUUCAAAGAUAAUCUUUCAUACAAUUUCAAAUCCCGCAGCAACACGCAGGUAAAAAUUUCUAGUACAAACUAAAGUUGUUUCUCCUAUUAAAAUAUGUCCGUUGAAAUGUAUUAUAUAUGAAGAUGGGCAGGUUGUUUCUCCUAUGAAAAUAUGUCCAUUGUUUCUCCUAUGAAUAGCUGUAAUCACAUCCAAGAAUCUUUUGGAUAGUCUUUGUCCUUUCGUUCCUCUUUUCUUCUCUCUUUCUUUGCACCUUCCGGCCAACAUUAUGUCGUUUCUCAAGUCCAUACGCCAACAUUAUAAUAUUAUAAACUUUUGUUUUGUUGACUGAAGGAGCGUGAUUGGGCUCCAGGAUUUCAGUAUCAUCGGAUCAGUAACACAAACAUAACCACUAUCCUUUUUUUUCAGUCGUGAUCUGAACCACUGCGGUGCCACAACAAUGGAUACCGCCAUGACAGCCUGCGAAGCCGCCUCUUCAUCCUCCUCCAUGUCAAAACUUUGGAAUCACGACGUGUUCUUGAGCUUCAGAGGCGAAGACACGCGUAGUGGCUUUACGGGCCACCUCCACGCAGCAUUAACAGACAGGGGAUACCAGGCUUAUAUCGAUGAGGAAGAUCUAAAAAGAGGGGAAGAAAUAAAAGAAGCUGUUCUGGGCAAUCGAAGAGUCAAAGAUCUCUAUCAUUGUCUUCUCAAAGAGGUAUGCGGAUUCGAGUUGGUGUCUUGAUGAGCUGGUGAAGAUCAUGGAGUGCAGAUCCAAAUUGGGACGACGUGUUUUGCCAAUAUUCUAUCAUGUUGAUCCUUCACAUGUCAGGAAUCAGAACGGAGAUUUAGCUCAAGCAUUUCAGAAGCACGAAGAGGGCAUCCGUGAAGAAAAAGAUGACAAGGAACGUGAAGCUAAACAAGAAAGGGUAAAGCAAUGGAGAAAGGCUCUUGCAGAAGCUGCAAAUUUGUCUGGCCACCAUUUUCAAAUCACAGACAAUGGGUAAUCAUUCACCUGCUUUUCAAGAUUUGAAACAUGUUGGUGAAUGACUUAAUCUCUCAUAUAAUUAACAUUUUACAGAAGCUAAAACCUAAACCGUAAUUGGAGUUUAAUUUAUGAAUGGCUUUCUUUCUUUUAUUCAAGUUCGUCACAAAAUCACAUACGAGCUAGUUAGUAUAAAUAAUAUAUAUGAAGGAAAGAUAAUUAUUUAUGUAUUGAUAGCUCCUACUGAGCUUUCAUUGAGUCCCACUAAUGCUUACGAAUUCAAUUUUCAGGCGUGAAGCAAAGGUUAUUAGAGAAAUUGUUGACAAAAUUAUUAAGGAAUGGCUUCCGAACGCAGACAAAUUACAUGUGGCCAAGCACCAAGUUGGAAUCAAUUCUCGCAUUCAGAAUAUUAUCACUCAUCUUUCAAGUGGUGGAUUAAAUGAUGUCGUCAUGAUUGGGAUUUGGGGGAUGGGUGGAUUGGGUAAAACAACAGUUGCCAAAGCCAUUUAUAACCAAAUUCAUUCUAAGUUUGAAUUCAAAAGUUUCCUGGCCGACGUUAGCAACAAUACAAGUAAACAUGGUCUGGUUAAUUUGCAAGAAAAACUUAUUUCUGACAUCUUGAAAGAGAAACUUCACAUAAGCAGUGUUGAUGAAGGUAUCAGUAUGAUAAAACAUUAUCUCCAACAUAGACGGGUACUUGUCAUCAUAGACAAUAUAGAUGAAGUGGAACAACUGGAUGCAAUAGCUGGAAAACGUGAUUGGUUUGGUCCAGGGAGUAGAAUAAUCAUUACGACACGAGAUGAACAUUUACUAAAGCAAGUGGACAUGACAUAUAUGGCUCAGGAAAUGAAUGAAGAAGAAGCUCUUGAGCUUUUUAGUUGGCAUGCAUUUGAAAAUAGUUGGCCUGAUGAAGGAUAUCUUGAACUCUCAAAAAAGGUUGUUUCUUACUGUGGAGGUUUGCCGCUAGCACUUGAAAUUUUAGGUUCUUUUUUUAUUAAAAGAACCAUAGGAGAGUGGGAAAGUCAAUUGGAGAAAUUGGAAAGAACUCCUCAUGGAAAAAUAAUAAAACCACUAAGAAUAAGCUUUGAAGGGCUCGAUGAUACACAGAAGGCCAUAUUCCUUGACAUAUCUUGUUUCUUUAUUGGAUGGAAGAAGGACUAUGUCGCAAAAGUAUUAGAUGCAUGUGGAUUUUUUGCAACAAUAGGAAUCAGUGUUCUUUGUGAACGAUGCCUUGUAACUGUUGAACGCAAUGAGUUGAAUGUGCAUGAUUUGCUUCGAGAAAUGGCCAAAGUAAUCAUUUUUGAAAAAUCCCCUGGCCACCCUGAAAAAUGGAGUAGGUUGUGGAAUCCUCAAGAUGUCACCGACGUAUUGACAAAUAAAUCUGUAAGUACAUUCCCAAUAUAAUUUUGGAUUAAUACAUAUAUAAACCACGUAUGUCUAUUAUACAUUAAACAUCAUUCAUGUGUAUCUGUAGUUGCACAAGGAGAGCUCCAUUAGCCAACAAUAGUACUUGCAUAUAUUCACCCACAUGAUUUUGCCUAAUCAAUAAUACUUGCAAUUCCUUCUUGGGUGAUGAACUCAUUCCCUCACUUGCAAAUUUCAUAAUCGAAGAUCGUUUAGUCAAAUAUAUCAAAUAAAUCAAUGAUGUAGGUAUCAAGUGACAUAUUAAUAAUAAAUCGUCUAUUUAUUUGAUAAAUUUGAAUGACUAGAUUAAACAAUCCCUGAUUCAAAUGAUGUUUUUGUAAGGAUGAUAUUCAAAGAUUAAGAAAUUGAACGGUUCUAAAUAUGAAAAUUAUAUGAUGUUCAAAAGGGGAACAUGAAAAAUUGAAAUUUGUAUGAUAUGGUUGUAGAUUAUUGAAUUAAUUAAUUAAGUGUUGAUUAACAUGCUUGUUCUUAUUUGUGACACAUCAUUUGGUUAGCAAAUUUAGUUAAAAAAUUUGGUGUCCUAGCAUUACCUUUCCGAAUAUGAAAUGUUAAGUUUGUAUGAUUUUUUUGUAAGUAUAACUUCUUUUUUUUUUUUUUUUUUAACAGGGAACUAGAAAAAUUGAAGGACUAAGUCUAGAUUUGCAAAGCUCUGAUACGGCUAGUUUCAGUACAGUAGCAUUUGCCAAAAUGAAGAAACUGAGAUUGCUUAAGCUCCGCUACGUAGAGCUCAAUGGAGAAUACAAACAUCUUCCCAAAGAGUUAAUAUGGUUGUGCUGGAAAGGAUGUCCUUUAAAGUCCAUACCAGAUGAUUUUUUUAAUCAACCAAAACUAGUUGUUCUAGACAUGCAGUGGAGUAAACUGGUACAAGUUUGGGAGGGUUCCAAGGUACAAUCAAUUACACAUGAUGAUGUUCUGUUUCUAUUUGUUUUUGGAUUUCCUUCUCUUUUUUUAUGAGAACUUCUUUUUCGAUAUUAAUUUCAAUUUUUCUUUGGUUUUGUGCCACAGUCGCUUCAGAAGUUGAAAAUCAUGAAUCUCAGUUGCUCCCUUUCCCUAAUUAAAUCGCCAGACUUUUCAGAGCUCCCAAAUCUUGAAGAGUUAAUAUUGGAAGGCUGUGACAGUUUGUCCGAGAUUCACCCCUCCAUUGGUCAUCUCGAAAGACUCUCUUUGGUAAACCUUAGAAACUGUUCCAGUCUUAGUUCUCUUCCGAGGGAUUUCUAUAAGUCGAAAUCUGUUGAGAUUCUUCAUCUUAAUUUAUGUGAUAAAUUCAGAGAACUGCAUGAGGAUUUAGGGGAGAUGAUAUCAUUGAGAAUACUUGAAGUAGAUAGUACAUCCAUAAGACACAUACCACCUUCCAUAGUAAGAUUGAAGAAUCUCGCUCGUUUAUCCCUAGGAAAUGUGAAAAAAAUUCGUUUGCCCUAUUCGUUACACGGCUUAAACUCUUUAAGGAGUGUGAAUCUCGCAUGGUGUGAUUUAACUGAAGAUGAAAUCCCGAAGGAUCUCUGGAGUCUAAGUUCCUUACAAUACUUGUAUCUUCGUGAGAAUGAUUUUCAUACCCUACCCAGCCUCAGUGGUCUUUCAGAGCUUGAAAUAUUGUGGUUAACUUCAUGCAAAAAUCUUCAUACAAUCUUGGGAUUACCAACAAGUUUGAGUUCUAUGUAUGCCGUUGAUUGCCCUGCAUUGGAAACAAUGCCGGAUUUUUCAGAAAUGUCAAAUAUGAGAAAACUGAAUGUAAGUGAUUCACUCAAACUCACUGAGGUUCCAGGCUUGGAUAAGUCAUUAAAUUCCGUGGUAAGGAUUGAUAUGCAAGGGUGCACUAAUCUCACAGUUGAUUUUAAGAAGAACAUCUUACAGGUAUAUCUCUCUCUCAUUGCCUUCCUAUCAUGCACAUGCACACACAAACGCACAUGUAUAUAUAUGACACUUGCAUUGUAUAUGUAGGGAUGGACUUCUUGCGGAUUUGGUGGCGUUUUCUUCCCUGGGAAUUAUGUUCCCGAUUGGUUUGAGUUUGUCAAUGAUCAUGGCAGUAAAGUCAGUUUUGAUAUCCCCUCGAGCGAUGGUCGUAAUUUUGAAGGGCUGACUCUAUUAUGCUCGUACUCCUGCAAUAUAUCAGUUCGUCCUCCUACAAUUGUCAUUACUGUAAUAAAUUAUACUAAGCGUACCGAAUUGCGGACCAGCAUAAUCAAAGAACAUCGGAAUAGAAUAUUCUACAAACCUGAAUCCCAUCAUAUUUGGCAGGGACAAUUAUCGAACGAUAAGCUCAGUUUGCAAGGCGGGGAUAGAGUUGAAGUUGAUAUAAAUUUAGUGGGAUCUUAUACCUCUACGUUUGCUUCUUAUACAUUGAAUAGAAUAGGGGUUAAUCUAGUAUGGGACAAACCUAUGAAGGAAAAUGUGCGUAAUUUGAUUUCGGGCAAAGGUGGUUAUGUUUUUGACCCACAUCCAGCUAGGUUCUAUGGUGAGGCACAAUCAAGAUGGUGAUGCAUAUCAUCAUCACGCUUAUCAUUACAUAUGUAAGCCAUAUCACAAUCAGUUCAUCAAACACCUCUUGUGUUUUUUGCUUUCCCGAUUAGAUAAUGAAGACAAGUACAUAUUUCAUACUUCAGAUUCCUAUGAUUUUUUUCAAUUAGUUGUUUUGAAUUAGCGGUAGGUCUCGGGUUCGAGACUUGGGAGCAGCCUCUUCAUAAAUGGGGGUAAGGCUAGCCGACAUUCACCUCUCCCAGACCCUGCGUAAAGCGGGAGCCUUGUGCACUGGGUACGACCUUUUUUAGUUGUUUUGAAUUUUGGAGAUAUAUUGCAUCUAGAAACAUUUCAACAUUACAAGCAGCCAUAUAAGACAUUCAUCAAAAUAUUUGACAAAUACUACUCGUAUUCGCAAAAAUAUUGGGCCUACUUCCACCACAUAUUCCAGGAAUUUACUUUUAAGGUUUGAAAAUCAGUGAUAACCUCAAGAAGCCAGUCAAUAUAUGGUUUCCACUACUUUUUCAUUAUUCUUGACUUGCCCUGAUAUGUUAGCAGAAGGUUUGGAUUACCUUUUCUACUAUCUUUGCAGUCGAUGAACUCGUUUGCACAAUCAAAAAAUAGUUAGUCUUCUAUUGGAUUCCCCAAAACUGUAGACGAAAUUGUUUGUAAGAUCGUAAAGUUUUUCCUGUUAUGAUUAAAAAGCUCGUUUCAAGACUCAGAAAUGAUGGAUUGCUCAAUAGAAUAUCUCGUAAAUUUUCUCCACUUCCCUUUCACUCUCGACUGAUGUGUUCAUAAGCUUCUACUACGGUUUUAGUUUCCACUAGUGAUGGUGCCCCACCCAAUUUUGUAUGUUAAAACGAUCAUCGAUCGACCGAGUGGAGAUUAUUUUCCGAUACGUGAUUUUACAGUUUUGCCUUUGGUUCUUAAUUUCCAGUAAUGUUGCAGCUUUAGGCUUUUCUUUUGGCUUCUUGGCUUCCAAGUUACAAAGCUUCAAAUUUAGGUGGACAAAUAUUAUUUGGUUUUUCUGUUAAUUAUUUGGUAAUUAAAAGCAUCGUUUUGCGGACUCGUAGAGAAGAACUGUAGAACAAUUUAUAUAUCGUGAGUACACUAUUAUGAUAUGCCGUACGAAUAUACAUUUAGAGGAGUUUACACAUGUAUCAUCAGCAUAAGAUAUUGUUUUAGCAGUGUACUCGUACAAUGUAAGUUUGAAGUCAGAAUAGCUAAUUAAGACCAUACGGACCAAUUGGCAAUUUGCUAAUACUUUUGAAUGACACAAACGACCUCUUGGUAGCCUGCUUUGAUGUGUACAGAGCCCUUCUUCUCGUCGAUCUCCGAUGCGUAUACGAUCUUCAUAGAAAUCAGGCUUAGCCAUAUUGGUUUAGGACAUCUUGUAUCUUUUUGUACUCAAGUUUAACUCUCCUCUCUGUAAGCAAUGGUGGAUUUAGAUUUGAACUUUGUAUGGUCCCAAUUUUAAAGUAGAAGUUUUUUAGAUAGAAACAGAACAUGCUUGCAAAAAUUGUAUCAUUUUAUGCAAAAAUUGUAUCACUUUAUUCACUGAGGCGUUUUGUCGUCAAACAAACUAUAUUGCACACAUGUCAACAGAUAUCGACAUAUGCUGAAGAAAGCCGAUGAGUGAUAUCGAGAGAAUUUGUAGAGUGUUGUCGACACAACCAGUCGAGAUAAUGCCUAGCAUAUAUUUCAUCAAACAAACACCUGGUAGACACAAAAGGGACCCAUACUAAACGUUUGGAGAGUCCUCAGAAAACCUUCACAUGUAUAUUUCUCGGAUCAUGGGACCACCUUGAUCCCAAUGUACAUCCGUCUUGCCUGUAAGUAUAAUAUCGCUUGAACACAUGCCAAAUAUUUAAGGGGUGUGCUAUCCACACACUCAUUUUUACUUCUCACACACCCCUUGUUAAUUUAUGUUCGUUGAUCUUCUCCAAUUCAUCUGAUCUGACAGCUAAAAACUACAAAAGUGUGGGAAAAGUAAAAAGAGGUGUGUGGAUAUCACACCCCACAUUUAAACCACCAAUCACAAACUUAAAAAAGAUAAUAGAAACACUUCCAAGGACCCACAAUAUAUUUGCUAUUUCAAUAAUAUAACAAAUAAUGACAUGCUAAGAUUCUUCUAAACCACAUUUGCUCACACUACAAUGAUUACAUAUGGAGAAGAAAGUGUUAUGAAUUCACAACACUCUAUGGUACUGGAUAGGAAGACUUAAAAUGCUUAACUGGUGUGUAUUUUUCUUUCCCUCCUUAAUCUUCACACAUUACGAACCGGAAGUUGCAGUCAGUUCACCGGUGUUAAGUGCCAGCAGCGCUGCUGCCCAUGGAGGCCUGAGGAGGCUCUUCUCGGAGUAUGCAAAGAGUUUUGAUCCUCGAGGGCGAGGCUUGGACACUCCCAUAUGUACAACGGAUGAAUGUGGCAAGAUGUAAACAUAAACUUAAGCGGAUUGCACCGUUUAUAUGCUUUCCCAUAUGAUUGGAGCAACUAGCAUCCAUACUGCAACAACACAAAAUUUUCCUUUUAGUCAUGACGAGAUUUUAGUUAGAGCGCAUUCAAUUUUGUUUAGCGUUAUAUACUCACAAUACACGCAGACCGCGAUCCACUCGUUCACAAUCCUCACCCAAGUGCUGGCCCAUCCCACAUCAAUCGUAAACCUGCAGAAUGAAGUGACUUGUUGAGCAAGCAAGAAAGAACGGAGUUCAGUUUUAAUUCACAAACAAGGUGGUGAAAAAUACCUUCUCAUGGAUUGAUGAGUAUUCCAACCAAUCAGCAGCAUUCCAAAGUACAUUGCUCCCGUGGCAAAAACAAAGUGGAAGAAUCCAUAACCAUAUGGAACAUCAUCCUCGGAUUCAGUCUCGUCCUUCCUGAACUGCAGAUGAUGUCAGGCUCAUUCUAAAGGAAACAUAGAUGAUUGAUUAAAAGUUAUUCAGACGGUAGAGCAAACCUGAAAGCAUUUGGAAUCUAUGCCGGUUGAGAAUGUUGCGAUAACCAUUGCAAGCACGGCUAUAACAAAGCUCUGUCAACAAAUAAGUCAUUGUCAUGAUUUCGUGUAGAGAAAAGAGAUAUCUGUGUGCAAUAUUAAGAGUAGAGUAUUACUAUGAUGGUGAGCCAAUCUGUUUUUGGUUGAAUCAUCUCUGCCUUCUUUCUUGUUGCAGCUUGUCCCCGCUGGCUCACUGCACUCGAAAGCAACAAUUAUGGAUCAACGGAAUUCACAAAUAUACCAGAGUCACACGUUUAGAUUUUCAUUCGAAGCUAGUGAUCAACUGGAUGAUUGAUUUUGAAAGAUUAUGCAUCAAUGCCGGAUAACAUCUGCAAAAUCUCAAAUUGCACUAACGGUGGUUCACACAGAAGAGACUUAAAACCGUACCUUCUAAUAGCAAACCAGCAGAUGAAUACUAUAUAAAGGCCCAUGAGACCCGGAGUCAAGAUGCCAGCAUUCACCUGUUCGGGGUGGAAUUUAACAAGCAAACUCACAUUAAAACAAGGCUGAAGCCCCUGAAUGCAGGGUGAUUAGCAGAACUUACUUUCGGGUGGAGAGAGACACUGGUCAUGAGUUGUAGGAGUACUAAUGUCCAGGUUAUGAAAAAGAUGUUGAGGAGGCAAGUUGGUUCCGGUGCAUACCAUAUGUACAUCAAUAUGAUCCCCACUAAGCAUACAACAUAUGCAGCAGUUGCAAGUAACAUCACAUGAAUCCGGCUGCAGUGCAAACCUAAAGUUAAAUCAGCCUGAGUAACGCUAUGGCUAGUAGCUACAUCGAAUUUGUUUCCAAAGUCCACAAAAAAUGGCAACCCGAUUUAGCUUGAACAAAGUCUUACCAUCUUUCUGAUUUGGUAGACUGACAACAAUCGUUCAGCCACGUAAUGAAACUGAUUAUGCUUAUUAGCUGAAUCAAGAGAAAAACCCUGAUAAAACAAUCCCAAAACUUGUUAUAAGAAUACCCAAGAAACACAUUUCGAAAGGGGAAAAGAAAGUACAUAGCGAAUAAAUGUAACAGCAUCGAAUCAUACCCGGCACCAAAAUGCGCAAUCUCUCCUGCAAAAAGAUUUGUAUCAGGUGGACGAAAAGAAAGUGCAAUUUAAAAGCGGAAAAAAGAAGAAAAAGAAAACAGUUUUGGUUUGAUGGAAUGACAGUACACUAACCAUAUAGCUGAAUGAUUGUGGCAGGAAGCAGAAAGGGAAUGAUGAUGAAGGAAAUCCACAUGACAAUCUUGGCAGACCACCAUCCGGAUUGCCACGAAUCUCUGGGUUCAUUCAACUUCGAUGUGCCAGCAGUGGAAAGAAACAUUGUGAUAUAAAACAACUGAUGAAGUAUAUAUUAAGGUUUUACUUUACUUUGAUCAACACUUAGAGAGCUAGAAAAAUCAUAUGAAAGUCCAAGAGUGAUGUAGAAGAAUCAAUGUUUUUACAAGAAAUUUGGAAAAGCAUUCACUUCCUCGAAUUCAGAUGCAUAAACAAUAGUGAAUAGUGUUGCCAUUUUUUCAAAAAACUUCUCAGAAUUUAGUGUACUACACGACAAACCUCGUCUCAUCAAUCGAAAUAGUCCAGUUCAGGCCAAGCCACGAAGAACAAAACAGAAAAAAGGAUACAAAGCAACCCAAGCUUACACGUAGGACUCCUUCUGCACCCAAACAAUCCUUCACACCAUGACAUCCUUUUAAUCCUGCACUCACAGCCAAAGGUUUUAAACAUUCUGCACUAAUAAUGUGUUGAUUAACACACUCGUUUAAGAUGCUAAGUGCGUUUAUCGAAUCUAUAACAAUGUGUUCAUAAGCAAGUAGAAUAGAGGAGAGAAAGCAAAUCUUACUCUCCAUCUCCGUCAACACAUUUCUUCCGUAAUCCCGGACACCCCAUGCCAUAAGAUUUGCUAUCAAAAACAUGAAUCCGUAGACAUAUCUGGCCAUCCAUGGAUUCGAACCAUUGCGAAAUUGGCUGAACCAUGAAUCAACCUUGACUUUGAGUCCACUCCUCAGAUAGUUUCCUGCUGAUCCACCCUCCUCCAUUUCUACUCCAUUCAACACUUCUUCAAGCUUUUUUCUUCAUCAAACAGAUUCAGAACAAUGCAGCAAAAGAAAACCAGCGGGGCUUCUCUCUCUGUCAGACUUUCUCUCUCUUCCCCUGCAUAGGUGGGACAGAAUCACAUGCAUUUCAUAGGAGAUCUAUACAUACAGUUACCAAAUAGUCAAAACUAACAAAUCAAAAUGAUGGGCUCAAAUCUGAUUUGGUAUUUAACAACAUGGGUUGGGUUGGUGAUAGAAUCUGUCCCAGGAGACCAACUUACAUUGGCAGUGAACCUAUUCUAUGUAAGUUCUUCUACUGCCGCAACCCAAAAAAAUGCAUUCUUUUUUACAAAAAGUGACAAACCAAACCCAUCUUCUAUAUAUGACAAGAUGUGCACCAAAAUGUAAUCUUAUUCCCAAGAAUAUGCGAAGGGUAUGCAAAUCUUUUUAAUUUUGGGCAAAACCCAUCUUCUCUAUUUAUAUUUAGCUGAAAGGUGAACCAAAAUAACAAAUCACUAUCCUGCCAUACUUUUGUCGGUCAAAAUUUUCUGCCCAAAAGAAGGAACUUUGGGCGCAAAGUAGGUAAAUAAAACAGUCAAAGGAGUCAAAUUUCAUGCAAUAGAUGUCGCCUUUGUUAAGAAAAAAAAAAACAAAAAACAAAAAACAAAGGGUGGUGUUAUCAAUACACUCUUUUUUAUCUUCAACAACCCUCUCAAUUUUUGGCAGUCCGAUUAAAAAAAAAAGGAUUAAAGGACAUAAAUUGAUAAGAAAUGCGUCCAAAAGUAAAAAAUAGUGUGUGGAUGACACCACUCAAAACAAAAGUGGGAUAAAGCAUUAUCCUUGAGGUGGUGGUUAACUUGGUUUGCACAUGGAAAUAAAACAUUCUCAAGAUCAUAAAGAAAAUGAUCACCACAAUAACUCGGAUGCCUUUCGGUUGGGUGGGUUAUAACGACAGAAACGUGCAUUGUACGACAACAUCAAUACCAUUGUUGAUGAUAGAGAGCUAAGCAUAUUGUUGGACAAUUCUAAUUACGACGGUCACACUAUCACGUAAUGUUAUUAAUAUACGUGUUAUAAUAUGAGUGAACAGUAACCAACAUAAUUAACCUAUCAACGACAGAGAGCUAAGCAUAUUGUUGGACAAUUCUAAUUACGACGGUCAUACUAUCACGUAAUGUUAUUAAUAUACGUGUUAUAAUAUGAGUGAACAAUAACCAACAUAAUUAACCUAUCAACGACUUGAAAUAUAUGUUAUAAAAUGAAUAAAUUAAUAAUUCUGCGUGACAGUAUAAUAAUCGUAUUGAAAUAUCGUAUCAUGUUCUCUCCUAACUUAUGGAGCUUGACUAGAAUCAAAUACAGUAGAAUAAGCAUUAAAAAGGCAUGCCAAAUGGAUCUACUUGAGAGUUCUAGAGCACAAUGGUGGGACCCACUCAAGUGCACACAUUACAAUAUUUGACAGAAAAAUUCCACUUCCUGGGGAGGAUGACGUGGUAGUCCACAGCUCCAAAGCUUUCAGAUUUUUAUUUUUUAUUUAAUUUUUAGUGUUUUAUAUUAUUAAUUAGGAGAGCAUUUCCUCAACUGCAAGCGUGCUCCGUGCCCGAGUAUCUUCCACUGAAUUCUGCAAUUUUGCUCUUAUGACGAUUAUACCCUCAAAUUCUGUACAUUUUUUGGUAAAUUUAUGCUAAAGAAAUAGCUACUUAUGGAGAGUUAUGUUUUGGUAUUAGAUGGGUCAACUCGUAAUUUGACUCUUCAUGACUAAUCUGAUAUAAAUCUGCACAUUUUUUGCUUUAGCCUGUCUCCAAAGAGCACAAUAGGAAGACAAUCCAAGAAGGCAAAGUAGAAAAAAGGGCCAGGAAAAAAAUAUAAUUAAAGGAGGACGCCAACUCAACAGAGCUCCCUGAUUUGUGAGAAUUGGGAGAAGUUUUAUUGUAGACUGUUUACAAUUCGAGCCCGUAAUCUUUAUAAGGAACAACAUUUUCGUUGCGUCAAAACUUACGGGAAAAAAUAUAUGUAAUUAUUAAGAAAAAAGUGACUUUACUCUUUGCUGGGUGGUUGAGAAAUAUGACAAACAAGACAAAAAAGUUAGUGAAAAUACAUGUCUAAUGUAGAUGUUUAUAUGAUUAUAUGUAUAUGCUUCAAUUUUGUUUUCCUUCGGUUUCUCAGCAACCAAACACAAAAUCCAGCAUUUGAGCCCUGUGAUCACCGGAACAGUUUUAAAACUUGGAAGGGGUUCUCAGUUCUAUUGCAAUUAUAUGAACAAAGAAAAAAAAUGUGAUGAAAGAAUCAAAAUUUUGGAUUUUUGAGCAGAAACGAACAGAACCCAGAUCAAUAUCAACUCCAACACACAGAAAGAUCCAAUCUUUACCAUCUAAAAUUCAAAGAAAUAAAACUGAAAAUAAAUAAAUGUCGAUAAAAAACUGUAGAAAUUAAAUAUUACUUUGGAGGGUACCUGAGAGAUGAAGUGGCAAAUGGGGCAAUGCACAAAUGGAGGAAUCAAGCAGUGAGUUGGGAGCUUCGAGAGUCUCUCUCUCUCUCUCUCUAAACCUCUGAGAGUCUGAGACAGUUUCUCUCUCUAUGUCUCAGAUUUUUUACGACAAAACACAGAGAGAGAGGCAGCUCUGUUUUAUUUUGUUGAGAGAGAGAAAGAGAGAGGAGAGAGAGAUUGCUUUUGAGGAGGUUUUUGCUUUGCUUUGGGACGUUUGCUUUUUCUUCCUUUUUCCCGCCGUAAGCUAACUGUCUCCGCUUCUCGUCGUUUCUUUCAAGGUUUAUUUUACUAUUAUUUUACGGUUUUUACCUAAUCAAUCAAACGAAAAAAUGUAAUGAUUGGUGAUAGUGAUUUGUAAAUGCACUCUUCAUGAUUAACUGUUGCUUAUGUGAAGCCGGUUAAUGCGGAAAACAAACAACCCAACAAAAUAAGCAAGGUUAAGACUUAAGACAGAGAAAUAAGCCAAGAACUAACGUACUUCGACUAUGUGUUUUUCGUCCAGAAGCAACAACAAUCCAAAAGUUCAGGUAUUUUAAAGCACACUUUAUUUUCAGUAUUUUCUCUCCCUAACUUCUUGAAACGUAAAAUUUUCUUAAUUACUCGUUGGUACAUGUAAACGAGCGCAACAACUCUACUUGAAUAUAAUCACUAGUGGGCUUCCUCGUCAAUUAGGAAACCUAGCACAAAUUGGAAUUCGAUUACGAGUAUGUAAAUUUUUCUUUUUUAGGAAGGAACGAAAUUGUAUUGAUAAAAGGGGCUUACAACUAAAAGAGAAAACCAGCUUUGAGAAUCUGGCAAAUUGGACAACAUAUCAAGACUCGAUUAAGAGCAUGUUUCAUGUCCUCGAAUAUUAUUAGGCGUGAUAAGCUUUGGGGAAACUAAUGAUGAACAAAACAACCCAACAACCUCACGCCAAAAUCAGUAUUUGAUACAUGCUUAACAUAAACAUGUUUUUUUUUAAGUAAUGAUAAUGGAGGCCACGAUGCUAUGAUAUCAGCUUUACAUUUAAAAUGAAACCAUAUUUUAUUUUCGUCUAUACUUAUAUUGCGUAGAAAUCCAUCCUCCUAAAUCAUCUCUUUGGAAUCACAACAAACUCACAAUAUUUUAAUUUAUUUUAAUUCUUAUAAUGGUCUAACUAAAUGCUUCGUUGGUCGUAUGGUCGCACGAAAAAGAACAGCAUUAAGAACGAGGAUAUCUAAGGUACAAUAGGGUAGUCCGCUAUUGAAGAUAAAAUGAGAGAAAAUUAGUUAAGGUGAUUCGAACACGUGAACAUAAUACCUACAAAUGCUUCGAUUAGAGGAAGGGACCAUAAGACAGAGGCUCAAAGCAAAAAAAGCAGUGUAAUACUUGGUUGUUGUUGGUGUACUCUAACCAAAAAGAAUAUUGUUGAUUAUAUUAGUCACAAAUCACAAUUAUUCUAAGUUACACUAACGAGCAAUUGAAGGUUCGAACUAAAACCCAAUGAGUUGAAGAGAAAAUCUUAUCUAUCCGGACAAUUUAUUCCUUGUUCAUAUUUUUUGUAACCCUAAUUAAUCACACAGCUUGCACAUAUAUAAAAUCCAUAUGAAUGCUUUUAUCCAAUUAAAUUAAAUCAAUCGCAUUGCAAGGGUUUGAUAAUCACCAAUAAAUAUUUUUUCCUAAGAAUCUUGUCUUCGUCAAAUUAAACAUCUGCUAAACUAAUAUGGACACUUCAAAAUUUUCGGAUCAGACGGUCCAUAACAUCUAAUAAAAUAUAAAUAGAAUAUAGAGAUAAAUUACAAAUUUUUUCUUCUUUUUUCCAUGACAGAUGAAUAUUAUAAAAUUCACUUUUCAAUUCGGCGGAGCACCAUAUAAAAUGUAAAGAGAACAAAUAUAUAUAUAUAUAUAUAUAUAUAUAUAUAUAAUUAAAAGGAUAAAAGAAAAGGAAGAAAAAAAGAAAUGGGAAAGAGACAAAUUAAAGAAGGGGGUGUGCUAUCCACACACAUCUUUUUACUUCUCGCACACCUUCUUAAUUUUCGACCGUCAGAUCGAAUGAAUUGAAGAAGAACAAAUGACAGUAAUCAAUAAGGAAUGUGUAAGAAGUAAAAAAAUGAUGUGUGAAUAUCACACCCCUUAAAGAAGGGAUCUCUCAUGCAUUCUCUGACUGGAACGUUCUUCUUUUAUGUAUGGAUCCCUGCAUGCACGUGCUCCUAACUUUAAACACCAUUCACAGGAGAGAUGGAUUUUAUUAAUUUUUCUUAAUAAAAUAAAAUGAUAAGACAUCGUCCACGAUUACAAUCAAUUUCAAUACAAUCAGAGAAAUUUUUUCUUCAUUCUCAAAUUUGAAAAUUACUAAAACGAAAACCAAUGCUAGCAACUGCAUUCGGCCAGAAAUUUGCUUCCGUAAGCACAUGAUUUCAACAAAUAGAGUCAAAGAAAGUCGUCGACCACUUAAUGUCUUUGAUGAUGUUUUUCAAUCAUCAAAGAGUUGAGCAAGAGCCUUUAAUUGCAUACAUUACUAAUUUGGAAUCACCUUCAACACACACGUUCUUGUAACUGCUUCCUUUUGCAAUCCAAAGUGCAUCCCUCGGAGCCAAAGCUUUAGCUACAUACACAAGGUAAAACGCGCACAUGGGUCUUAUAUUAUGUUUGAAUUUUUUGUCCUUAUUGUUAAAUAAAGUUAAGUAAAUGGGUAAUUCGUGUCUUUUCCUUAAAUAAAAAUUUUUAUUUUUGGUUGAAGAAAAGUUUGGUGAAGCCCAAAAGAAAGAAUUCUAAACCAUUCGUAGGCUAGUGCAAUGAAGCCCAAAGCUUUUCCAUCACAAUGGUUUUGGCCCACAUCCAUUGCUAUUGGUUUUACGAUAAGUUCCCAGCCCAUUGAAUCACUUAGGCCCGUUUUCGUAACCGAUGGCAAAAGCCAACUUCAUUUUUUAAAAUUAAUUUUAGUAGAUAGAUAACGUUGUUGAAUUAAAUAGUUAGUUGUUAAAAAAAAAAAAAAAAAGAAUUGCUAGAGAUUGAGAUCCCACCAAAAUGGACAUGCAUGAAUACUUUCCGUCACUGCCUUAAAGUGUCAUGUGCUAAUUUUUAUUACUUAGCAGGGAGUGAGAUUUAGAAGUUAAGACGACACAACGAAAGUAACUGAAAAUGGACAUGCAUGAAUACUUUCCACCACUGUAUUAAAGUAUCAUGUGUUAAUUUUUAUUACUUAGCAGGGAGUGAGAUUCGAAGUUAAAACGACACAACGAAAGUAAAUGAUAUUUAUAACCUGCAACAUUCAAUUAUUGAGCCAGUUCUAUUGUACGAAGCUAAAUUAAUAAGCCAGCUUCUUAAAAUUAAUUUUAAUAAAAAAUGACUCGUCAACUUUUCUUUUCUUUUUUUUUCUUUUUUUUUUUUUAAAAUAAAGAGACUAGUUAAUGAUUUCGCUACGUCAAUCUACUUUUUCAAGGGUCGGAAAGACUCACAAAGGCAUUUCAACAUCUUCCUCAUCACCAUUGUGUGAUUUAUCAGUGCCAGGAAUCGAAUUCUGAAUAUGUCGGGUAGAAUACAAACUUGCAAUUCGUCCCAACUACUGAACCAUCCUGUAGUGGUUGACUCGUUGACUUUUAUAAUGUAAGACAUGUUUUGUGGAAGUGGUUCCAAGCUAAUCAAAACAUCCACUAAAUUAAGUAGAUGAUGCACACCAUCAACUGCCUGCAAUUUGCCGGCCAUUUGCAAAUAUAUUGUUUCCCAAAUACCCUUUUUAAAGGCAAUCAAUUGUUUUAUUAGGAAGAAAUAAAAAAGCCGUAUAUAUUAAAAUUAUUAUAUGAUGUAAUGUUCAUAUGUUAAUGGCACCCAUGUUAUGUUUCCUUUUUACUUUUUCUUUGUUAAUCCUUUUUGUUUGUAUGCAUAUGUGAAUGUUGCUUUUGUAUCAUCAAACUAAUGGACUUAUUAAUACAAAAUGAUGAAAGCCUAAAAAGGAGCAGAACACCUUCACAUGAGCCUUAGAUAUAAUUACUACUAAAAUUUAUUUGAUACGGUCGAUCUUUCCGUAAAAAUUAAAAAAUUAGAAAAAGAUAUAGAAUGGGAGUGAAGUUAGAAACUCUUAAUUUCGGGUAAAUUCAAUAGAUUUUAUCAAUAUUUCUGACUUGUCGGUUAAAUUUUGAAAAAACUUUUGUAUUCGUCUAAACCAGUGGUUGACAUUCUUUAAAGCUUCAUUUAAAAUUUCCACGUUCUUGACCCAAUUUUUAUCAUUUUCAUCAAAUGCAACCAAUAUCGAUCUAUUUAUCAAUAUUUUCAUAAAUCUGCAUAUCGAUAUUUGCAUAAGUUUGUAUAUCGAUAUUUCUACUUACGCCGAUAUUUUAAUCACUGGUAAAGACAAAUAACACUAAUUCAAUAGCAUUUAAUAAACACUACUAAAAGAUGAAGAAGUACAUGAUGACUAUUUGAAGUGUAAAUGUAAAUUCUGACCCGAUGCCAUUUAUAUGUAUGACCUAAUUUCACGCUGUCGAAAGAGGUCCAAUAUUAAAUGGCAGUUAUGUCCUAAUUCAGGUAAGAAAACAAGUCAACCAACUUGUUAAAUUAAUCAAUUUUACAAUUUUUUUCAUGAUAAAAAUAAUGGUGAAAAAAGUGCUAACAUCACAUGUGGGGGGUUUAUCGAGGGAGGCCCCAUUUCUACAAAACGUUACAUCACCAUCCCUUGAUUGGAUAUUUUUGCAUCUUGUUUUCCACAGAGGACUAGAAAACCACAAGUGGAAUGAAUUGAGAUGUUCUUCGAAUUUCUACGUCUGGAUGUUUAAUAUUAUAAGAUUUAGGAUUGGUUUGGUAUUGCUGUGCUUUGAAAAAAAUUGUUUUUGCUGUGCUGUGAGAAUAAACGGUUGUGAAAUAAAGCUGUAGAGUGUUUGGUAAACUUUUUUGUAAAAAUGCUUUUGAAAAAAAAAACAGUAUUAUAGUGUUUGGUAAACUUUUAUGUAAAACAGAUAUGAAAAAAACCGGUUUUCAAAGCUGAGUUUUGCAGCUUCUUGUUUUUGGCUUUUUUUCACCCAAAACUGUGAAAAAAGCUGAAACUGAAUAUUUACCAAACACAAAAAAACUCCCAGCUUUUGUUAUACCAGUUUUGUUUCAGAAUCACUUCAGUACCAAACCAGGCCUAAGCGGUUGAAGAGAGAUUUGAAUUCUUAAUUUGUGUGGAGUGAACAAAUGAAAUAGAUUAAUAGGGUAACAAAAUUUAAAAUAAGUGGUCCGGAUCUCUUGAUAAUACUUCUUAAAGAAGCACUUGACUAUGCCAAAUUUAAUUAAGUGUUUUUUACCGUUAAAAAACAAUUUUAGCCAUUUCAGAAGUAAAUCUCAAAAAAAAACAUGGUAUGGGUUUUGGAAUGUGAUUUUCAAAGGGAAAAUGAUUUUCACAAACUCUUUUUCGAUUCUCAAACACUCCUCUUUAUUUAUGGUCAUCUAAUAGAAUAAAUCAAAUUGAAUUAAUGACUAGUAUUAAAUAGUAGUGAAUAAAAUGCUAAAAGGGGUGCGUGAAAAUCAGUUCUCUUUCAAAAUGCAAGGGCAGCAUCUUCUUCUGCACAUACACAAAUGAAAGCCAAUUGGCAAAUAUUUGGGGGCGGGUGGUACUUGACAGGGUCUAGACACGAAUUAUGAGUUUGGCUCGAUUUGGUACUGCAUGGACUUAAAGUUUAGAGGGAAGCAAUGAAAGACAGGCCGCUGCGGAACAAUUUACAGCACAUGAGAAGUUGGCCAUUUGGUCAUCGCCCAUCAAGUGCUCCUAUUUAUGUCCAUCCAACCAUCAGAGAGAGAGAGAGAAUAUAUGCCCUACGCGGCAGCCUUGCCUAAUAAUCUCUUCGUCCAAGAUGGAGUCGAGAAAAACUUAGGUAGGACUUCUUUACCACGUGACGUAAUGUAUGUGGUAGGUAUUGUCAACUAAAACGUGACAAAUGUUAUUGACAAUGCCAGCCACGCAUCGUGCCAUGAAGAGUCUCCACCAAAAUGUUUCUCUAUUGAAUCUUUGAUCGAUGAUAACCGAGCGGGUCGGGACCGAGACCCGACCAACCACCCCCGUCCCGGAGAAACAGAGAUCCGGUCCAGGAUUCAGGUAAAAAAAGUGAGGGACAGAAAAACAAAAAGGAGCUAUGAAAGGUGAAGUUACAAGUUACAACAGGAAAGGAGAAAGAGGAUUUGCUCAAGAUUUUAAAAGAGAAAAAGAGUAAAGCAUUAGUGACAACAGUCAACACCGACAAACACCAAUUCGUGAUGAUGAAGGAAUUCAGUAGUAAAAAGACAAAAGGAUCCGGAUGGAUACUCUCCGGAUCCCUUUGAUAUCGACCUUCAUGAUCUUUUAAUCGUGUCUAUUCGACCUAUUCAACCGAAUAUCGAAGGGUCAGGAAUCAAUUAACUACUUUUUUAUUUUUGCUUUUUCCGGUUCCAGUUUUGGACCACUGAAGCCGAAAGACGACAAUUGGCGUGGUGGGUCGGCAGUCGGAGCCAGCACCCAUCAAAGAACGCACGCAAUUGAAGGAUCCGGAUGGAAGAGAUCAGGAGAGAAUCCCGACCCUAAAAGGAUGGCCCAUUUCAAAGCCUUUUUUUCAUGAUCAAAAGCAUGAAAUGUUUCAAAUUCCAACGGAGGAGGAAUUGAGGAGUGUGAGAGUGAAGGAAUAAGGGAGGUUUCGAAUUCGAAAUUUCAAAAUCCGAAUUUGAUAUGAUAUUCGGGAAGCCCACAUGAAAGAUGAUGAUAGCAAUCCCAACCAACUAUUUAACUAAUAAAAAAAAUCAGAUGAGAAAUUGAAUGCCGCACCAAAUCAAUGAGACUUUCAGGGCACCGUCCGGCAAUUCAUGAUUUCACAUUGCCAAUUGGGACCUCCAGUCUCGAUCGAAAAUCAAGGGCCCUCCAGCCGGACAUGACCUACCACCUUGACUAUUAAAUAAAUAUGAUGCGGAUUCCCGUUUUGCAGGAUCAAGAUCGUACUUGGCCAGCUGAUUGCCAAUCGGCCUGCUGUGCCCGAUCCUGCGUAACGUAACGGGAUCCCGCUUCUACGUGAUUGUGUCAUUGUCAAACACUGAUGCUGCAAUGAACAUGGAUUCCUCCUCGUCAAUCCAGUUCCAAUUCCCAGAAUCUGAACGACGCAAACAAUCAGCAACAGAGUCUUGCAUUUGCUUAAUGAUCGAUACGGUCAUCGAAAAUCAAUUACAGCCCCGUUUUCUCACUUGUAUUCGAUCAAGCAAAUGGAGGACUGAAAGUGAAGAACAAAUAACAUAGCAUGCAGAUUACAAGCUCAUAACACAAACAGAAGUAAAUGGAAAUCAGAAGCGAACCCGAAAGAGACGAACUCUGAAACUUAAUAAUACAAGUAAAAAUGUUCAUGAUUAUACUAUAAAGUUUGGAAAUUGAGAAGAAACAAAAGUAUGAUAAAAAAAAUAGAGAAUAACAAUAAAACCCACCACAAAACCAGCAGCGGCGGAAGGAGGUGGUGCCGCUGUGUUUGUGGCGUGAACUAUGGUCUCCGAAAUGCAUCUCCUAUACAUACACAUUCUCUGCAACCUACUCUUUCUCUGCCAUUUUUAUUCUCCACAACUCAUCAAAUGGAUAAUCCAUAACAAUUUCAAAUAAAUAUGGGAGAGACUUUCUUUCUCCUCUUACCUCUCUCUCUCUCUAUACUGAUAUUACAUCUCUAUGCUUUCACCUCUUCUUCUUCUCUGUUUCUUCAGACAUUUGUUCAUCGAUGCCGAAAUGGGUGAUUGACAACAAGAAUUGCAUACAAACUCAAACUUUUAUGCUUUUUUUUUUUUUUGCUUUUCUAACUCUGCACGAGCGAUGAGAAUUGCCCGAAAGAGAGAGAAAUGAUGGUGUGGGGGAGAGAAGAAGCCGUGAAUGUGAACGAGGACUGUUGAGUUUUUGGUGAUUGUGCUCUGGGAAAGGUUAGAGGAGGAGAAAAUUCUCAAAAGAAUCAAUAGAAGGGUGGCGGCGGAGGAGACGCGUACGAAACUCCAAAGAUGGGUGGCAAUGGGCCCUCAUAUACAGGAGUGGGAGGCGGCGGGCUUUCAUAAACAAUUGGUGGUGGUGGAGAACUGUAGUGAACCGGUGGCGAAAGAUGGUGAACUGGUGGGGGUGAUGGAUGAGGUGGCGGGGUUUCACAUGGAAUUGGGGGUGAUGGGGAUGGUGGUGGUGGGGAAUUGUAGUGAACAGGUGUUGGCGGUGGUGGUGAUUGGUAUUGGACUACAGGGGGAGGCGGUGAAGGGGAUGGUGGGGGAGGGGACUGGUACACUGGUGGAGGUGGAGAAGAAUAGACAGGAGGUGGUGGUGGGGGUGAGGGUGAAGGUGGCGGCAAGUAAACAAUGGGAGGAGGUGGCGGGGGAGGUGAGUAUUCAAUACAUGGUGGUGGUGGGGAAGGUGGAGGGGGUGGUUCUAUACAAAGUGGUGCUGGUGGUGGUGGUGAGAGGACCGGGGGAGGUGGGGAAUGUCCAGGAGGUGGCGGUGAUGGAUAGACAUAUAUUGGUGGUGGCGGUGAAUGCGGUGUGGCGGUGAAUGCGGUGAAUGCGGAGGUGGAGGCAGUGUGGAGGUGGGGUGAUAGUACAUGUAAGGAGAAGGUGGAGGUGGAGAGCUCAAUGGAACCGGUGGUGGGGGUGAAUUGGUGGCGGAGGUGAGGGGGCCGCACGCAAUAGGG